rnacentral:rRNA from 1 species
AUGGCGCUCGGUGGUCUGUUCGGCACGGCGGCGGUGGCCGUGGUCGUGUCGCUGGCGGUCCACGUCGCGCUCAACUGCCCCAUCCAGCCGCUCCCGUCGCCGCGGCCGCCACCGCCCGCCGCGCGCUACCGGCCUAAUAACCUCCUCCAGGGGCUGGAGAAGCUGGGGGAAGGGCAGCUGAGCGCGCCGGAGGACGUGUACGUGGACGCGGCGGCGGGAGGGACGCUGUACACGGCGACGAGGGACGGGUGGCUGCAGAGGAUGCACCCCAACGGGUCGUGGGAGCAGUGGCGGUUCGUCGGCGGCACGGGCCUGCUCGGCAUCGCGCCCUCCGCCGACGGCAGCGUGCUCGUCUGCGACGCCGACAAGGGACUGCUGCGAGUUGAGGAGGGCCGUGUGACCAUCCUCGCCUCAACGGUCGAAGGCUCCACGAUCAGGUUCGCCGACGAGGCGAUCGAGGCAUCGGACGGCACGGUGUACUUCAGCGACGCCAGCACCAGGUUCGGCUUCGACCGGUGGUUCCAUGCCUACGUCGAGUCCCAACCCACCGGCCGCCUCCUCAAGUACGACCCGCGCACCGGCAAGGCGUCCGUCGCGCUCGACAACCUCUCCUUCGCCAACGGCGUCGCCCUGUCACGGGACGAGGCCUUCGUCAUCGUCUGCGAGACAGGGAGGUUCAAAUGCACGAGGCUGUGGCUGAAGGGGGACAAGACCGGCCAGGCGGAGACGUUCGUCGGCGACCUUCCGGGGUCUCCGGAUAACAUCCAGCUAGCGCCAGACGGCUCCUUCUGGAUCGCCCUUAUCCAGGUUACUAGUCUACACCUCAGCUCACCAACUUGGAUACCGUACCAGCUCAAUCAUACUCUUGGUUGCUCAAUCUGCGUGCAGAGGUCGCCGUGGCUGGACCUGGUCAUGCGCUGGACGUUCACGAAGAGGGUCGUCGCCUCGUUCCCGGCGCUGCUCGACGCGGUCCACGCCACGGGGAAGGGGGCGAUGGUGGCGCAGGUGUCGGAGGACGGCGAGGUCCUCCGCGUGCUCGACGACACAGAAGGGAAGGUGAUCAACUUCAUCACUUCAGUGACGGAGUUCAACGGAGACCUCUUCUUCGGGAGCCUCGCGACGAACUUCGUGGGCAAGCUAUCUCUGGCCAAGGUAGCACAGGCACAGGGACAGGCGGCGGCUUCUUCCUAG